AGUCUGCAACUCGACUACACGAAGCCGGAAUCGCUAGUAAUCGCGCAUCAGCCAUGGCGCGGUGAAUACGUUCCCGGGCCUUGUACACACCGCCCGUCACACCAUGGGAGCCGGAAAUGCCCGAAGCCAGUGACCCAACCUUAGGGAGGGAGCUGUCGAAGGUGGAGCCGGUAACUAGGGGUGAAGUCGUAACAAGGUACC
rnacentral:rRNA from 1 species